rnacentral:lncRNA from 1 species
GCUGGCUGGGCUGAGGAAAAGUAUUGCUAAAAGGAAGAGAAACCUUAUUUUCCUUUUCUUUUCUUUUGUGUAAUUUCCAAGCAAUUUUUAGCCUCAGCUGCCCUGCCUUUGAGGAGGAUGACUUUCCGGUACACGCCUCCGAGUUUUACCACAAAUGCCCCUACCAGCAAAGCCCAGCAGGGGGCGGAAGGUCACGCAAUUUCUGCAGCUGCAGCCACCGGAGUCUCCGUGUCCCAGAACUUGCACGUUUUACCUCAACAGACUUCAGUGCAAAGUUGAUCAUCUCAUCCUUGGUUAUGCAUAGCCCAUGGAGAGAGGCCAGGACAUCCACAGUUAAGUACUAGCAAGACAUUUAAGUCUAUGAAAUUUGAGGAUCCAGUGCAGUCUUCUGAAAUUCAGCUGAAAUUUGCAUCUUCAGACCAAAAACUGCAUGAGCAUUGAAGAGAAUUUAGUGAGUUCUCCAAGCUUAUCUGGACUUUUGCCUAAGACCCGCUAUGUAAAGGUAA